CGGUCGCUGGGCGUGGUGUAUAAUGUGGGUUGUUAUUUGUCUGUGUCAAAUACCUGGUGUUAUGGCGCUCCUUGUCAACCCUGCACCUCAGGUGACAUCGGCACUUGUUUCUUGUUAUAUUGUAUCGUUCUGCACUUAGAAUCGCUUGUGACUUAGCUUCAUAUGGUUGCAACAAACAAAAUCGGUAUACGGAAUUUUGUUAAUAUAUCAGACUAGCUUGUUAUGGGGUUGCUAAAAGGUCCUAGGGAUUUUGUUAUUAUUUAUAUCUUCUGUUUUUAAUUUAAUCCUUCGUUUGUUUGUCUAUAUUUUAAUUUUUCUUUUCAGUAGCAUUUGGUUUGCUUUAUGAUGUACAUACAACUCCUAAUUUCUUGUCAAAUCAGAUAUAAAUUAAUCACCUGAAAUUUAUUGUUAUUAAAUGUAGGAAUGAUUUGAGUAUUAUUGUAUUAUAUAUGUGUAUUUAUUCUCUGUUAUUUAUGUUGUACUUCCUUUGCAUUUCCACUGUAUUGAACAUAGACGAUGCAUUUGAUCAAUGAUUAUUCUUCAGUUAGCGAAUUCCGUUAGAAAAAGACGAAGCUUGAACGCCAAAAUUUCAUUUGAUGUUAAAAACUAACUAUUUUCAUUGUUUUCUAUCUUGUCCUUUAAAUCCUGUAAAAUACAACAAAAAGUUGUGUUCUAGCGAUGGCCACUUAGACUAGAGUUUCAGACAAACAGAUUUUUCAUCUUUUUGAAUCAGGCAGCAUAAAACUCAGAAUAACACAUUUGUCUUUUGAAUUGAAUAAGUUUACACGUCAUAUUUGAAAUCCAUUUUAAUAUAGAAGAUCAAGAUUAUAAAAACAAGAGCAUAACAUUUUAAUACUUGCACAUGAACAAUUUGAAUGUGAAACAACUUUUAUUUGAAUUGGUUUUAAUGGUUUUCCUAGAAAAAUUAUUUUUUGUUUUUAAUGGUCUAAAGUCUUGUUUUUGCAAAAGAGGGAUAAUGUCCAAAAACUUGUGACUUUUAAAUCUAAAGUGUUUCAGUUGUCCUUUGAAAUAUUAGUGAGAAAUUUAUAUCAUAAUAUAUGGUUAUAUACAUCAGUCAACAAAUUGAUGAAAGUUGUUUUCAGAGAACAUGAGAUUUAGCAAUGCACAGCAUUAAUCAUCAAUAUAAAAACGAUGUUUUUUCACGAUGUUUUUCAGUAUACUUGCUUAUUAACCUUUGAAGUAAAACAUCUUUGUUUGUGUGUAUCUUUUCAAUUGUGGAAGCAAUUCAUUCAGAUUUGGAUGGUUUCAUGUGAUGCCUACAAUUAUUGUAAUAAUGAAGUCCUUGUGUUUGUGAUAUUAUAUCAUUUAACAAAAAAAUGAUAAUAGAAUAAGAAAAAUCUUUUACUGCCAUUGGAAAAGAAUUCAAGGCAGGGAAGGGUGUUAGAAAUUUUAACAGACUGGAUGAGCAUUUGAAAUGGUUUUCCAAUGUGCUGAUAUUGAAAUUGUAAUAAUAUGGAACUUAAAACAUAAACAGUCUCAGUAAAACUAGAUGUGGACAGAAAGGAUCACAACACUAGGUAGACAGUUAUGUGUUAUAAUGAUGACCACUUUAGGCUAGAGUUUCAGACAAGCAGGUUCACCACUUGUUUGAAUGAGGUUUAAUACCAUUCCGUUUAACAUACCAUAUAUUAAGUCACCCUUCCUCUUUGGACACAUUAUUCUAACUCUGAGACAACCCGUCUUGUAUACACUCGUCUAUGCUGCAUAGUUAGAGGAGAACCAGGUAAUGCCAAUUUUAUAAAGUCUAUGAUUAUAUCUGGUCAAGACAUUGUUUUGAAUUGCUUUGUUAUGUGUUAUAAUGAUGACCACUUUAGGCUAGAGUUUCAGACAAACAGGUUCACCACCUUGUUUGCAUGAGGUUUAAUACCAUUCUGAAUGAUACAUUAUAUAUCAAAUCUACACAGGAAUGUCCAAUUCAAUAGGAUUCUUUGGAAUUUUCUUGUACAGUUAUGCUAAUAAUAAAAUAAAUCUUAUAACUAGAGCUUAUUCAGUUAUCUUGGUUAAACAGCUGAUCUUUGGUAAAAGAAAAAUUUGAUUGAUUGAUAGGUGGAUGUUUAAUGUCCAACAGCAAAUAUUGCAUGAAUUUCCAGGAUGAUAACACUGAGUAUAUGAUAUAAAUAUGAAAUCUGCUUUGUACAAAACUGACACAUUCAGCAAUAUUCUUUUUAGCAUCCUUGUUCACAAGUUUACAAUCCUAAGGAAGAAAUGUGACAUCAUUCAGACUCGAAUAUAACCAAUCUUUUCUCUCAAUCCUAUAUGCUGCAUGCUCAGCAGAGUAACAGCUAAUACCAAUUUUUAUAAAUGUGUGGUUUUAUAGCUAUGUUGUGUGUUAUAAUGAUGACCACUUUAGGCUAGAGUUUCAGACAAGCAGGUUCACCACUUGUUUGAAUGAGGUUUAAUACCAUUCUGAAUAACACAUUAUAUAUCAAGUCUACACAGGAAUCUCAAUUUCAAUAGUGAACCAAUACUAUAUAUCAGAUAUUAUUUUGCUGAAGAUGGAUUUGUGCUGCUGUAUCUUUGAAUCAUUAUGUUAUACAUGUUAUAAUGAUGACCACUUUAGGCUAGAGUUUCAGACAAGCAAGUUCACCACUUGUUUGAAUGAGGUUUAAUACCAUUCUGAAUAACAUACCAUAUAUUAAGUCACCCUCCCUCCAAGGGGACAUUAUUAUGACUCUGAAACAACCCGUCUUAUAUCACACUCCUCGAGCUUUAUGUUGCAUGUUAAGUGGAGAACCCACUAAUGCCAAUUUUAAAAAGUCUAUGAUUAUAUCUGGUUAAGACAUUGUCUUGAAUGGCUUUACUAUGUGUUAUAAUGAUGACCAUUUUAGGCUAGAGUUUCAGACAAGCAGGUUCACCACUUGUUUGAAUGAGGUUUAAUACCAUUCUGAAUGACAUACCAUAUAUUAAGUCACCCUCCCUCCAAGGGGACAUUUUUAUGACUCUGAAACAACCCGUCUCAUAUCACACUUUUCGAGCUUUAUGCUGCAUGUUAAGUGGGGAACCCACUAAUGCCAAUUUAAUAAAGUCUAUGGUUUUAUCUAAUCAAGACAUUGUUUUGAAUGGCUUUGUUAUGUGUUAUAAUGAUGACCACUUUAGGCUAGAGUUUCAGACAAACAGGUUCACCACCUUGUUUGAAUGAGGUUUAAUACCAUUCUGAAUGACACAAUAUAUAUCAAGUCUACACAAGACUCUUAAUUUCAGUAGUGAACCAAUACUAUAUAUCAGAUAUUAUUUUGCCGAAGAUGGAGUUGUGCUGCUGUAUCUUUGAAUCAUUAUGUUAAUCAUGUUAUAAUGAUGACCACUUCAGGCUAGAGUUUCAGACAAGCAGGUUUACCACUUGUUUGAAUGAGGUUUAAUACCAUUCCGUAUAACAUACCAUAUAUUAAGUCACCCUUCCUCUUAGGACACAUUAUUCUAACUCUGAGACAACCCGUCUUAUAUUACACUCGUCUAUGUUGCAUGGUUAGAGGAGAACCAGGUAAAGACCAAUUUAAUAAAGUCUAUGGUUUUAUCUGGUCAAGACAUUGUUUUGAAUUGCUUUGUUAUGUGUUAUAAUGAUGACCACUUUAGGCUAGAGUUUCAGACAAACAGGUUCACCACCUUGUUUGAAUGAGGUUUAAUACCAUUCUGAAUGACAUAUUAUAUCAAGUCUACACAGGAAUCUCAAUUUAAAUAGUGAAUCAAUACUAUUCAACAGAUAUUUUUUUCCCAGAGGUUGUAUUUUUUGGUGCUGUUGUAUCUUCUAAUCAUUAUGUUAGUCAUGCUAUAAUGAUGACCACUUCAGGCUAGAGUUUCAGACAAGCAGGUUCACCACUUGUUUGAAUGAGGUUUAAUACCAUUCUGAAUAACAUA